UAAUACGAAGGGGGCUAGCGUUGUUCGGAAUCACUGGGCGUAAAGCGCACGUAGGCGGAUCUUUAAGUCAGGGGUGAAAUCCCGAGGCUCAACCUCGGAACUGCCUUUGAUACUGGGGAUCUCGAGUCCGGGAGAGGUGAGUGGAACUGCGAGUGUAGAGGUGAAAUUCGUAGAUAUUCGCAAGAACACCAGUGGCGAAGGCGGCUCACUGGCCCGGUACUGACGCUGAGGUGCGAAAGCGUGGGGAGCAAACAGGA
rnacentral:rRNA from 1 species